AGAGAAGUUAAAUUUCGCAUUGAUGCAAAGAGCAAAUAUGAGAACAUAACAGAUUAUUCAGUAAACAAGAUGGGAGUGUAAAUUAAUCACCAGAUUGUCUCAAUGUUUCAUAUUAAAUCUAAAUUAGUACUUUUCUAUAAACAUAUAAUGCAUAUACUUAAGAUAAAUACACCAGAAAAAAGAAAAAAUGCUUUAACUUUUUUUCUAAAUAUGUAAAAAACAUGAAAGAAAACAAUUGUAAAUAUAAAGAUAGGUUUCACCUCUUUGUUUCAUUUUUGCAAAGCCAUUACACCCUAAGGAAUGAAUUGCGGAACUUCCAGCGUACAGCCGAGCAUUAGCAGAAGAGAUUACGAAUAUCAAAACAAUUGCACUCAAAAUUGAAGGUAACUUUUUGAUGUUGACAUCUUUAAUAGUCAACACGAAUGGGCUUGCAUCGACUCCAUUGGUUCGAAGUUAAUCGAGGGUCAGCACCACUAAUGAGUAAACUGACAAUAAAAAAGAAGGUUUGUAGAAUAUUGCUAACUGACAUAUUCACUACCCGUAAACGAGAAUGGAGCUAGAGAAUACUGCACAAAAAUCCUUUAAUACGUGGCAAACUAAAUUUCACCAAACAAAUAUUUUA